ACAGCUACGUACGUGUGAAGAUAAAUAAAUAUAAUAUUUUUUGCUGCUAUUUGUCUCCAAAUGCUGAACUAGGGAAAUUUUUAAGCUUCUUAGAGGAACUGCAAAGUAAUGUUCUAAAAGACAAAAACAAAAGUAUUAUCCUGGAAGAUUUUAACGCUAAGUCUGUCAUCUGGGGAUCUGCUAAGACCGAUAAAAGAGGAAACAUGUUAAUAAAAAUGUUGGCAAACAUGGACUAUGUCUGUCAAAAUGACGGGGAAAGGCCCACGUUUCAAAGAGAUCGCGCAACAUGCCUAUUUCCAAAAAUUGCUAUUGCUACCAAAAUGAAUAUAAGAAACGGAGGAGAGACCACGAAGAAACUCUUUUGUAUAUGGUUGACAGUUGGGGUUCUCCACAAAAUGAGUUUACAAUGGAUUAAAAUUCUGUCUGGGUACCGGAAUGUCCACGUUAGGAUUAGCUGGAUUUUUAUGAGAAGUGGAUAGUCUGGUAUUUAGAUCACGAUUUUUUUGAUCAUUUCCGCAUGACAAAAGCCACCUAUCAAAAAUUACAUAGGGAAAUUAGUAUUCAUUUGGCUGGAAAAAAAUAUAUUGGGGGACAUAUGCCAAUGCCAGUGGCAAAGUCACUCUUAAUAACUUUAUGAUAUUUGGCCAAAAGCGACACAAUAAUUUCAACGGCAGAUCGUUUUAAUGUCGCCAAAUCCAAAGCAUGUACCUGCAUUAUAGUUAUUAUUGAAGCGAUUAAUAACUUAAGGGGUAAAUUUAUUAUAUGAGGAAGAAUGCCAAUUGCUAAGUAAGCAAUUCGAAGAACGGAAUAGAUUUUCAGGUAGGUAUCAUUGGAAUAAUUGAUGUGUGUCAUAUCGAAUGCAAAGUGCCAGUUCAGCACCAGGCAAGUUAUCAGGAUCGAAAGUUUCGCCACUAGAUUACACUUCAGGGGGUGGUUACUUGGAGUCGAUUGUUUACGAAUACUUCCGUGGGUUAUCCAGGGUCAAUCCAUGACGCAAGAGAAAAAACGUAAAAAACCUAAACUCGGGAAAACCUAAGUUUGUAGUAGAGGGGAAAAGUUCCGAAAAGUACUUCUGCAAAAAACGUCAGAGCUGAAUCUUCAUAGUAUGAAAUAUGAGUUCAAGAAAGGGUAAAAAAAGCCGCAAUCUCAAGUAGAAAACGCCAUAUUGGUGGUCCGUGGAAAUAGCAAGUAUGCUUAGAAGAGCGUAGAGCUUUAACUAGAAAGAAAAAAGUUAGGAAAGGAGGUGUGUUGGAGUUCUAUAGGAAUAAACCUAUAAAGACCAAACUUUUUUAAAACAUACUUGUACCUGUUUCUAUGGGAAACUCUGGGAAUACAUUUUGCGAGACAUUCUCUACAGGUUUCUAUAGGAUCUAAUAUAGGUAUUUGUUACAAAAUAGCCCAACAGAUGGCCCAAAUAUCACAAGAUGAAUAAGAUCACUCAUCCAGUUAACUUUGCUUUCAUAGGUAAGGACAUGGCCAACUUCAUCUGUCUUCCGCUGCGCUCCAUACGGCCGUAACAUACUGCCGAUUUUAUAUGGAUACGAUGAAUUCUACUAACCUAAAAAAAUCGUCCGGUAACUAGCGUCAUCUACUUGACAACUUUAAAACUACAGACAUUUCAAAUUUGACAAAUUUUUUCUCAAAUUUUCAAAAAAAUUCAAAUAUGGGCAGAAAGUGUUUUAUUUGUGGAG